GCUUGUUUUGUCAGGGCUAGUGUGGAGGAGAAUAGAUUGUGGAUGAAUAGGAAUGGGGCUGCAGCCGUGCCUCAUCCCUAAUGGGGUACAGAUGUAUAAGACAGGUGAACAGCAUUGAAGGAGAAGCAGCAUGGAAUGCUGAUGUGUAUUGACUAAUCACAAAAGAGGAAAAGAGCACACAGGUGUUAUGCAUGUGAGAAAAAAGGUAUUAAAAGUUCUGGAGAAUAAGAAAAAGCUGAUGCUUGCCACCAUUUUUAGCAUCAGUUAUGUGUCCACAGUCACUGGUAUAGGGAACUUGGAUUAUGGGUCUCCAGUGCUUCUAAAACCUGCACUGAAGUAGCUCCUUUCUGCACAAAUGUGGUUUCCAUCUGUCCAGAAGGCUGGACUUUGCAGGAUCUCAGUACUGUGGGAUGGGCUGCUACUUAUUCUUCUCAUUUUGAGUAAAAGGAGACUGCCUUUGGGAACUUGUACGGAGCCUGGCACCAUGGGUUUCAGCUCUAAACAAAGCAGCAAUCUCACAGAAGUAUAAAGAAUAAUGUGUGAGGGUUAGAAUGGGAUAAAACCCAUCAUUUUCUGCAGUUGCAUUUGCAGUAAUCUCUCUAUAAAAAUUUGGAGAGUUCUUGUAAGAUGAAAGAAUCAUGUGAAACAUCUAAGAAUGAAAUCACAGUGUUACUAGUAAAAAAUGUGAUUAAUUUUGAGAGAGAAUUGAGAGUGGCAAAAAUUCAUCCAAGAUUUGUGAAGUCAUUUUCUGCCAACUAACCCAAAGCAGCUUAAAAAUUAAUUGACAGGUAAUAUGAACAUUCAGUAGUGAUGAAAUAAUAAAACCAGAGAGAAUCAAUCAUCAGUUCCAGCAUCAUCUGAAUUGUCUUCCCACAUCUUAAACUUGAAAGAAUCUUGUGUUAUCUCUAUGGCCUUUUGAGACUGAAUUUUUUGGAGUGUGAAUUGCAUAUAUCCUUUAAAGAAUUUGGGAAAAGUUUUCUUUUUGUCAUUGUCUCAGAUGUGCUUGUGCCUUGUAGGCAUAUUCAGCAAAAUGAAAAAAAAAAAGGUGUUAUUAAAUCAUCAAGGGCUAAGAAUUAUUUCAGCUGUGGAAGAUGCACAAUGUACAUUGCCACUGAAACAAAUCAUGCAGUACAACCUGUUAAGGAUGUAAUUGAGAUACAUGUAAUCAUUAACCUUGGAACAGACUGGGAAUCAGUUAAUGAAUCAAAUCAAUACCCUCUCAACUGAUCCAUAAUAAUUUGAAAGACAUUAAAAAUUUAACAGUUGCUGUAUGUGAGAUUAUCAUGGGCUGUAAUUAACCAGCCUCUGGGAGACUGUUACCUAGUUACCACAGGGUCAGUGUAAUUUCUGCAGAUAUUUUGGAAAAAUUAUUACAAUGGCAGGUGCCAGACAAUAAAAUGGGUCACAAUGAGACUUUAGGUACUGGCUGUAGCUAGGUCAUCUUUC